AUGUUAGUGGAAGUUGGUAUUCUGUCGAUUAUCCUGUUCAUUAUUUUUUGGGAAUUCAACACCCUCAGCCAUAUUUUCAUCAAAUUCAUUUGGCAAAAAUUAACGCUCUCUGAAUCCUAUCCUCAGGCAAGCAAGGCUAGACAUGUUUCAAAAACAGAUAAAACCAAGAAUACUCGGCCAGUGAAAGAAAUACAAAAGCAAGGUAAAAGUCUUAAAAAAGAGCAAAAUGGACGAAAAGAAAAGACCAAGAAAGAAGAAAAGAAGGUGAAGAAUAAAGAGCCAAAGCCCAGUAAGUAUAGUGAUCCAGUUUCUUUGCCUGAUAAAGGUGUCAAAGUUACAACUGAUAAAAAACCGACGAAAACCUUGCCACCACCUCAGGGGCCUAAGAAAGAUAAGACUAUAAAGAAUAAAAGCGGUGAUAAUUCAGGAGAGUGGACCAUUGUACAAAAGAGAAUGAAAAAGUCCUAUUCUUCAAAAACCAUUAAACCCGAUAGUCCUGGGUCUAGCGUACAAACCAGAGGUCCUAAUUGCUCUGAACUCACAGCCCUGGGAAAGCAGUCUGAUACAAGCACUGUAACCAAACCACAUUAUAAAGAGCAUCCGGAAAUCAUUCCGACUAUAAAUAUUGGAAGAACUGGUAGUUCUAAUAAACCAGGGGCACUAGACCCUUCACUUACCCCAAAACCCUCCCGUACACCUAAAAAUGAAGCAAUCACCAAAGGUAAUUUGCCGCAGAAAACAGCAACCAAUGGUACAACAACCAGAACUACAAAUGAGUUGGCGCAGGGUUUUUUUUCCUACAAGGGUAAUAAAGCAGAAAAUGAUUCUAAGCAGUAUCUUGACUUUGCAAAUCAAAAUAAGAGAAAAUUCCAAACUGACUAUGCUAAAACAGUGUACAAACCGAAUGCCUUGUCCAGUGAGUUUACAAAUGGGUUUGGCAGUGAUAUUAGCGAAAAGUCAAAGAAGCCCAGCGCUUCUUUAAAUCAAGAACAUUCUAUUGAUUCUACCUUCGUGGGAACCAAUGUGGCAUGCAGUAAUGUUGGAACUGAGCCUCCUAGUGAGGUCCACAGCUCAUCAAAUACUUUUGUCAAUCCAAAUGAAAUCGACAGUCAAAGGCUUGCUGCAAAUCCUGUAAACUUCUGCUCUCCAAGUCAAGUUCCACCUAUUCAGACAACUUUUCUCAACAUCGCCUCUAGUCAAAUGCUGAACCAAACUUUUCCCUUGAAUGCUGCAGAUGCCAAUUUGAUACCCCAAAUUGAAAAUUUUGAUCCAUAUAGAAAUUCAGUGAUUUAUUCUUACACUGAACAAAAUCAGCAGAGAGUGGAAAACACUACAGAGUCAUCUAACAACUUCUCUGCAUCAUUCCCAGAUGCAGGAACCGAAAUAUUUUCUUACACAACCUACAAUGAAAACUUCCCAAUUCUAUAUAACUCGUCCAGUGGCUUUGUUGAAAUGCCCCCUGACCAUUUAACCUCCUUUGCAAAUAGUGGCGAGAACAAGUCGUAUUACCAGGAAAAUGUCUAUCAUCCAGGCGAAGCAUUUGUGCAAUUGGAUAGUGCUGGAAAUCAUUUCAAUGGCUUUAAUAGUAACUCCGCCCAUAUCAGUGGACUUCCUAACAAGGCACCCCUAGGUCAGUUUGUCUCAAGUGAUAAUGCUGCAUCCUAUCAUUGUGACAUCAAUGUUGAUGAAAAAAACUAUGGGCUCUCAGAUGGUAAUUCAGAUGGAGCUCAGCACGGUUCUCCUUUUAAUCCUGAGGAAGUUCUAGCUACUGCUGUGCCUACCUCAAAGGCUAUAGAUGAGUCACUUCAAGAUUUAGCAAGUCCGCAUGGACUAAGUAAUGCGCAACAAGAGUCUGAUCGGGAUACUAAUAUAGUAAAAGAAGAAUUACCGAGGGAAGACCAAGGGAAUGAAGAAGAGUUGUCAUAUUUUGCAGGAGGAGAGGACAGUCUAGUUGACGAGAACUUGUCAUCAGAGGAGGAAGGAAGUGACCCAGAAUGUGAAAGAUCUCUGUCUAUAAAUGAAGAAGAAUGCAGUGAAGAUACAUUUGAAGAAUCGUCUCUAGAAGUAAAUAAUUUAAAGCAUGAAGGGAUGUCAUCAACGGCAGAUCAGGGUUUGGUUAAAUCUGAUGAAGAUGAGACAGUGUUAAGUGAUGAUGAAGCAUCUGAGGAUGAAAUAGAAAACCAGAAGAGGCCUUUAACCAAAGAGGAAGUAAUUGACAGUGCAGAAGAGAGUACAAAAGAAAGCAAAAGUGAGGCUACUAGUCAAGCUAAGAGUGGUGUGGGAAAUCAGUCAGUUCAAGAAGAUGACAGUAUGAGGAGCAAUGAAAUGAGAAAUAACGAAGAACAUGCGGUAGAAAGAGACCUAACCGGAAGUGAUUUUUGUGUGGAGAAUGAAGUGACAAAUCAACAUACACCACUUGCUGCUGGAGAGGACUCGUUUAUAGGUGGAUGUCACAUUCAAAAAAAUAUGGAAGUAAAAGAAAAUCCUCAGGAUUUUGACAGUCCUGAAUCCUUAGAUUCCAAAGCAGUAGAGUGCCCUCACAUCAAUUACUUUGAGCUCCAGUCUAAUGAGGAUAUCUCCAAAAUUUUGGGGAAAAAUGAGGAUGCAGGAAUGGUGAGCUCAUCUCUUGUUGAAUCAAGUGGAAGUUUGAGAUCUGAGAUUGAUGAGCUUGAGGUGGAUGAGGAAAAGCUGAUCGUAGAACAACUGUCAGAUGCAUUGCUGGAUGAGUCUGAAACCUCACAACCUGCGAUUGCAGAUGUGAGCCGGGACACCCUGAUGCCAAAGCCUGUAGUUAGUGCAGAGAAUGCUUUGUACAACAUUAUGGAAGAGCCAGGAGAGGUCGAGGAGAAAUGUCAUGUUGAAGCAUCAGUACCAAUCUGCAAGGAGCCAUCUGUACAAGCAAUUGACCAGAAUCUGCUACCCAAUCUACCCUCUAAUGAAACUUUCGACAAAAAUCGUACAACUCCCGAUUCUAGCACACAACUCAUUUAUGAUCACUCGGAGUCGAAUCCCAUAAUCUUGGAAAAAUUUGUCAAUGAUGAAUUCUCAGUGAAGGUGACUGAAUCUUUAAGCUCAUCUUUCGAUAAAAAAGAAUUCGAAGCUGCAGGGUGA
rnacentral:lncRNA from 1 species